rnacentral:other from 1 species
AAGUCCCUACGGUGUUCGUGACGUGGCCAUAUAUUCCUUGAACCAAUGCUUAUGGCAUCAGGUUGCUGGAUUAACAAGUGGGUGUGAUCGCUACUCGCUAGCGAACCCGAAGCUUGUUUGAUGGCAACCAUCUUGGACUCUCGGUUUCCAGGAUGCCGGCCUAGACGGCACCCGUGGGGCAUUG